ACUUUCAAUCAUGCAGAAACAGGAUGGAUGUAGAGCCCCUGUGCCCGAGCUACUGGCUCUGCCUUCACAGGAUGCCACACGCCUGCUGGAGGUCUAUGUGAAGCGCAGCCUGAGCCUCAAUGAUGGUGCUGUUGCAAACAGGAAGCCCCAGGUCAAGCUCCGGCGGUCGGGCACUGUGGUGGAGAACCACAGCAGAAUCUGCAGGCAAGAAAGCAAUGCUUCCACACGACCAGCAGCUGCCAAGGUAGUGGCAGAGGUCUCUAGGCCGGCACCCUCCAAGUCAAGUGGGCCUGUCAUGCCGGAGGUCUCUGCCAAGCUGGGUUUGAUGUCCAAGAAGAGUGAAAAGAAAAGGAAGAAGCCCUCAUUCCUGAAGAGCAUCCUGAGCCUAUUCUCCAGGAGGGCCAGUGAGAAAAGUGAAGAAGAGGAGGCCAAGCCGGUGAAAACGGGAGCUGCCGCUGCCACACAACAGAGUUCUUUCACCGCUUCCUGCCUGCCCUUCCGUGGAGGGUUCCAGGACCCCCCAUGUCCCGGCAAGCUACAGAGAAAAGUAUCCUGGAGGAAGAUGUCCUUCAGGGCACGUGCUUGUGAGGAAGCCAAAUUCACCCCUGUGAAGAGACCCACUACCUUGGGCCUCUUUGAUGGAGGACACAAGCCUGAAGUUGUGAGUGUGGAGCCCAACAGCACAUACUACGAAAAGAUGUCAGACGAGCUGGCCAAACUAGUGAGGCGAGUCAAAGAUGAGGGCUAUUCAGUUCCUGAACAAAGUGUGAAGGCAAGGAAGAAUGUGGCAGCUCAAGAAAAGGAGGUGAUUGAGAGGAUCACUGAACUGCUCAAACAAGAAGGAGAUGCCAUCGACGGUGUGCUAAAGGAGAACAGCACCAUCAGCUCCUUCUUCCAGUGCUUGUCCUAUGGCUCUUUCCAGCAGCUGGCAGACCGCUAUGUGGAGGCAGAGACCCCAGAGCCAUUGCCCCCCGAUGCUGGCUGUAAAGAGCUCGUCCACUUUGCUGUCACCCUGGACUUUACUGCCAAAAUGGCCGGACUCUCCAACCAAGCCGUGGGACGCAUUAUGGGCUUUGGGCAGCAGUACCUCCAGGAACGUUUCAUGAGGAUGACCUUUGCUCACAGUGGAGUCCCAGGAAGAACAGGGAUGCAGGCUGCAGUGUCCUCGGGAUACGAGUCCAUGGAAUCUCAAGAGCAAGUGGGAAAUUUUGUCAGCCUGGACUAACGUCACAGUUUCAUUUGAUUUUUUUUGAAGUUCCAUUUAAGCUUUGAUCCAUUCAAAUCUGUUCAUUUUGGAAAAACAAAACUUGACCUGACAAUGGAAGGAGGAAUUACUCCAUCUGUUGUGACCCAUCUUGUGCGAGAAGCAGUUUUCUCUCCUGGAAAUUUGACUGACGUUUUUUUUACUUUACUUUUUUUAUAAAAGAAUAUUUAAAAUUUUACGGAAAUAUGAGGCAAUAUGUCUCAGUGUGACACUGAUGAAAGGAAAGCAAAUAUUUAAUAUUUCAAAAAGUAUGAACUCCCACAGAAGUUACCGAUAACGCAUGAGGCAAAAAGAUCCUGAUCACAAAGAAUUUAAAUACUUUUUCCAAAAUGAUGCAGUAUCAGUACUGUAUUGGUUCUGUAUCAGUACUCUAUCAGUAUUGUAUUGGCUCUGUGUCAGUACUACUGGGAGAAAGGCACGUUGGCACAUUUUUGGAAAGUACACUGAACAGUCAGGUGAACAACCUGUGUAAUAACAAGGUGAAUCAGUAUUUGAAUGCAGGAAAUCGGUGCUGCGUUGGACUUCCUGUAAUUUACAGGAAAGUGUUAUUUUCGACUAUUGUGUCAUAACGUGAUUCACUCUGGUGUUAAAUCUUGAAAUGAUUCCAGAUGUCAGGAAUCACGCAGGCUGACAUGACCUAAGUCUACAAUAACUCUCUACUUGGCUGUGUGUACGCAGGCGUACACAGACUGUACAUGAUUACUACGGGUUUUUAAAAUGAUAGUGACUAAAUUUUAAAAUUUAUGUUUCAUUCCAUUAUUCUUUGUAUCUGUAUCUGUUUAUUUAGAAGCAUUCUGUAAAAAGCUGUCAGAUUUUAUUUAAUUACAUGUAAAAUAUUCCAUGUGUCAUUCUUUUCCAUAGUCUUUUAUUUUUAACUAUUCCAGUUUAAAUUUUUAGAAUUUAGUUUUUUUUUUACUUAAAUGUUUUAAAACUUAAAAUGUUCAUCAGUGUAAACACAAUU
ensembl:lncRNA